GGGACAGGAAAAUAAAAGGGAAAUCCGUGAAAACCGGAUGCAGUUCCCGCUACUGUAAGUUCCGCCAUUAAACGGGCAAGACCGCACAUUCGACUGCCACUGUUAACAUGUCAGCAAUGACAGGAUAAUGGGAAGGCGUUGCGGCCGGAACGAGCCAGGAGACCUGCCGUUAUGUUUU
rnacentral:ncRNA from 1 species